rnacentral:rRNA from 1 species
GCAAGUCGAGGGCCCGCUUGCGGGACCGGCGAACGAGGUAGUAACACGUAGGACUACAUACCCCAAAGUCGUGAAUAGCCUAUCGAAAGGUAGGGUAAUACACGAUAUCUCUUCGGAGGAAAGAUUUAUCGCUUUGGGAAUGGCCUGCGGAGUAUCAGCUUGUUGGUAGUGUAAAAGACUACCAAGGCUACGACGCUUAGGGGAGGUGAGAGCCUGACC